AGAGUUUGAUCAUGGCUCAGGAUGAACGCUAGCGGCAGGCCUAAUACAUGCAAGUCGGACGCAGGUAGCAAUACCUGAGUGGCGCACGGGUGCGUAACGCGUAUGCAACCUACCUCGAACUGGGGGGAUAGCCCGGAGAAAUCCGGAUUAAUACCGCAUAACACCUUCUGAUGGCAUCUGAGGAAGGUUAAAGAUUUAUCGGUUCGAGAUGGGCAUGCGUGCCAUUAGCUAGUUGGCGGGGUAAGGGCCCACCAAGGCGACGAUGGCUAGGGGUUCUGAGAGGACGGUCCCCCACACUGGCACUGAGACACGGGCCAGACUCCUACGGGAGGCAGCAGUAGGGAAUAUUGGGCAAUGGGCGGAAGCCUGACCCAGCCAUGCCGCGUGCAGGACGAAGGCCUUCUGGGUUGUAAACUGCUUUUACAGGGGAAGAAAACACCCAUGCGUGGGGAACUGACGGUACCCUGGGAAUAAGCACCGGCUAACUCCGUGCCAGCAGCCGCGGUAAUACGGAGGGUGCAAGCGUUGUCCGGAUUUAUUGGGUUUAAAGGGUGCGUAGGCGGCCCGUUAAGUCAGCGGUGAAAGCCCGGGGCUCAACCCCGGAACCGCCGUUGAUACUGGCGGGCUUGAGUAUGGGACGAGGUCGGCGGAAUUGAGGGUGUAGCGGUGAAAUGCUUAGAUACCCUCAAGAACACCGAUUGCGUAGGCAGCUGACUAGGCCAUAACUGACGCUGAGGCACGAAAGCGUGGGGAGCGAACAGGAUUAGAUACCCUAGUAGUCC
rnacentral:rRNA from 1 species